rnacentral:lncRNA from 1 species
UUCUGCAGAUUAUGGUCGCCAUUACAAGAUGACGCUGGCUCCGCUGUGGUCUGUGACAAACAACUCCUUAUCUGGGAGAGUUGGCACAUGAUUUUUCACCACCCUGUACAUCACCCUGUGAGAAAGCUCCACGCGGCAGCUUUGCAUUGGGGCUUGGGAUGCUUUAUUAAGGCUGGGAGGGGCAUCCGAGAGAGAGAAGAAGAAAUAUCAAGGGCCUGAAUAAACUGCUGAAAGAAGAAAAAAAA